CACUCCUAUUUCGGAAGAACAGCCAAUGCUCUGUAGAAACUGAAUUUUUAUGGCGGUACUCAAGAAAAAUACAGGAUCUAGUGCCCAUCUUCUCAUUAUCUUAAUGAGACAACUGAAUGAAAAUAAUCACUUUUAAAAGAAGGGAAAAAAAAGAAAAACACAAUGAUAAAAGGGAAAAAAAUUAUACCUUUUUGUAAGGAGAAGUUAAGCUGAGAGAUACAUUGGUUUUUAACCUCACGAUUCAUAGCCGGAUUACCCUGUCCAAAAGGACGGAUUAUCACCUCCAACAUGAUGUUCUCCAGCGCUCUGAUAUUUUCUAGUUGCAUUUGUUGAAUUGACUUUUUAUGGCCUUGAAAAUUAGUCAGCAGACUACGAAAUUGUCCAUGGCCGACUCUUUGAACUUUGAUGCAUAAAUUGGUUAACCUUCCAUGAAAACCAUCUAUUACAUUUACCUUUUUCAACUCUUCAAAAAUGCAUCUAAAUAUCAUGAUAAAUUCAUCCUUGAUGAAUGACCACCACUGGUAUGCAAUGUUCUGAAAACCGAACCGGACUGGCUGGUUCAAUCGAGAACCGGCGUAGAAAACGGUCCGAUCCUCUUCUUAAAACCGCUGAUUCUCAAAUCGGUGAAUCGAUUGGGAAUCGGCCGGUUGGACCGGACCGGGAACCGACCGGUUCAUCUGAAACGGCGUCGUUUUUGUUGCUGUUAAAAAAAACCCAAAUCCCCCCAACCCAUGCGAGUCCUCACCCGGUUACCCCCCCACCCCAAUACACACACCAAACACCCCUCCUUUGACAAACACACUCACCAGCAUGCCCUAAGGGUCUCAAACCAAAAACCCAGCCUCGUCAACGGAACCGCCGCCGCCAUCCGUGGUUGUCGGCGUCUCCACGGCCUCGUCCUUCCCUUGUCCCAAAUCCAUACGGCCAGACCUUCUCUUCUAGCUCGUGCUCGGCACGUCGUCCAUUCCCCUGGUGACUUCGCUGUUCGUGUUCGAGGCUUCCGGCUGCUGCGCCAUCGUGUCUUCGUCGUCCUGCUGUCAGUGGCUCCGUGGACUGUGGUAACUAAGAAGAUUAUAGCUGCUGCAGAAAUUAUUAGAAGCACCAAAACCCCAACAACUAAUGCUACAUUGCUACUACAGGAAUAGCUACAUUGUUUUUCUUCUUCUCAAUUGUUUUGAUGUGUUGGUUGCAUGAUGAUACAGAAUUACAUAGGUAUGGAUUUUGCCCCACAAUAGCAUUUUCAGAUUAAAAUAAAUGAUUAAAAUUAGAUCAAGAAUUAAGACUAUCUUUGAACUUGUGAUUUUAAUUUACUGAUUAUUAAUUUUGAAUGUAUUAUGAUUAUUGAUUAGUGAUGUGUUGCUGAGUUGUUGUGUAAUCUUAAUGAAAUCUCCUCUUUCUCUUGAAUUCUGGAAACAGCAUCAUGGGUUUGCUUAACCCAAGGCUCAAUUAUAAUGCUACUUCUGCUGCUAUUCACUCUCUUUUCUCUUUCAACAAUCACUCAUCUAUCACAAUUUCUUCUUAUCAGUUCAAUUGUUUCCUCAUUUCAUUUCAUGUAAUCAUAUAUUCAUGUUCUUUUUUUCUUUCAAAAUUAGUUGCUCUUUUUAUUCAUUGAAAAAAUAAUUUGCCUAUUUAAUUUAGUGUCAUCACUGCCUUGUUAAUGCUAAUGCUAAUGCUUGGUUACUGAAUGCUCUGUUUUGAACUUUUGAUAUGUUGUAUAAUGUACUGAUUUUGUUGUUUUUAGUGUUUAAUUUAGUGUCAUCACUUCCUUGCUAAUGCUAAUGCUUGGUUAUUGAAUGCUCUGUUUUGAACUUUUGAUAUGUUGUAUAAUGUACUGAUUUUGCUGUUUUUAGUGUUUAAUUUAGUGUCAUCACUUCUUGCUAAUGCUAAUGCUUGGUUACUGAAUACUCUGUUUUGAACUUUUGAUAUGUUGUAUAAUGUACUUAUUUUGCUGUUUUUAGUGUUUAGUUUAGUGUCAUCACUACUUUGCUGAAUGGUGUUGCUAAUGUACUGGUAUUGCUGUUUUAGUGUUUUAUAAUGUGUUGCUGUUCGAUAAUAUACUGGUGUUGCUGUUUUAGGGUUGCUGAUGUACUUUUGAUAUUUUAAGAUUUAUAUUAGACUAUAAUUAUAUUUUAGGGUGUUUAAUUAUAAUUUAUUUAUUAUUUUAUUCUAAAACGGUUUUUUCGGUUGAACCACCGGUUGGAUCAGUAAACCAGUGAACCAGUGACUAGAGCGGCUCGAUGAUCGGUCUGGUUCUCAGAACCUUGGUCAAAACUAAUCUAUAGUAGAGGGCCUAAUCGCAGGGCUAAAAAUCUGAUUAUAGUCAAUCCCUUCCAAUUGAUGAAAGCCCUUUCCUACAGGCCUUGCUUAGUAUCUAAUUAUAGAAUUAUCAGGAGCUCUUUUGAUUACAAACACCCAUUUGCAACCAAUGAUGGUACAUUGGAUGGAGGAUCAACAAGAGUCCAUGUGUUAUUUUUAAUCAAAACAUCAUACUCCUCCUGCAUUGCCUUGAACCAGUGUGGGCAAUUAACAGCCUGUUUGACGGUUUUAGGAAUUUCUUGUGUUAAGUCAAUAUCAAGCUAUCAUCACUUAACCAAAUACUUUAUGGAAGGAAUACAAAUUUAAAAAGGUUAGUUUUUUUUCCCUUAUUCUUUUUUUAUGUUCAGCUAUCACCACUUUGCUCAUGACCUCGGGCCAGAAACCUACAAAAAAGCACUCUGUCACUCAAAUACGAGAUCAUACACUUGGUGACCUGGUGUGUUUGGAAAAUAUAACUUCCUUUUUUAGCUCA